CCGCCCCUCCCCCGGCCGGGCCCCCUCAUUGAGCCGGGCGCCCAUCAAUCAGCUUCACGGCUGCCAGUGCUCGGGCGGCUCCCCGCUCCCGCCGGCGGCGCGGGCGGCUGCCACUGCCAUUGCAGCGCUGGCUCCCGGGCGCGGGCGCUGGCCUCGCUGCUCCCAGGCUCGGCCCCGGAUCCGUAAACAAAGUGCAAUAUCCUUCCGCGGCCCAGGGCUGUGGAGUGAGGUUACAAGUCGCGGCGAGGGAGGGUCCCGGCGGCACAAAAACUACCCAAGGGUGUCCCCCCUAGCAGCUCUCGCAGUUACUAGUGCACUUCAUACCCACUUCAUCUUCCCGGCGCUUUUCCCCCCAGAAAGUCAGGUAUCCUCCGAGCGUCAGGCCACCUCUGCUCAGAUGUUGCAGUGAGCCAGGAGCUAGUUGGCGAAGAAAGUGUUUGUAUCCGGGCUGCGGUGGGGGGUUGCAAAAAUUAGUCUCAUUAUUUUCCCCCAACACCCGCAUCCCCAUUUAAAAAGAAUUUGAUUGCUUCAUUUUAGUUGGCCUUACCCUCCCCCUGCCGCUGCACCUCCGACCCAGGGCUUCAGCUAUUCAGCGGAGUGGCUGAAGGCACCUUCUGACCCAGGCCAGAUUUAAUCAUUCACUCUUCCUUUUCCAGGGCAGUCCCCGCACUCACACCUCACUGCGGGCGCUCCUGGCUGCAGGGUCUUCCUCUCUGAGUGCACCCCACCCGGACACAUGUGGACCUCGAAUGCAUUCAAUACCCCGAGAAUCGGCCCUCACAAGAACCCCAUGGAGGAGGUUUCUUUAUUGGCCUCAGCGGAAGAGACUGUGUCUCUAGGGACUUGGAUGACUCGCUCACAGGCUCAGAACUGCCACCCGUCACAGCAAAUCCUGCGUUCAUUUGACGAUGGCGACCUUCUCACUGUGUCCUUAUCAUAUGCACCCUCCUGGUGUCUCUUCUUCUUAUAAGGACACCAGUCCUUGGAUUAGGGACCCACCCUCAUGACUUCAUUUAACCUUGACUACCUCUUUCAGAGACCCACCUUCAAAUACAGCCACACUAGAGCUGAGGCUUCAACAUAUGAAUCUGGGUGGCUGAGGGAACACAAUUCAGCCCGUAAUAGACAGGACCAUGCUCUGGGAUAUUUCAUUAGAGCGAACAUUGCAGAGCUUACAAAGACUGAAUCUCCACCCUCAGAAUCUGUCGUGGAGUUGAAGUGUGCAAGAUGUACAUCGGGCAACUGUAGAAACUACAGUCAGAAACUGUAAAUUAAAUAAAGGAAUAA